GUCGUAGUCCGGAUUGGAGUCUGCAACUCGACUCCAUGAAGUCGGAAUCGCUAGUAAUCGUGGAUCAGAAUGCCACGGUGAAUACGUUCCCGGGCCUUGUACACACCGCCCGUCACACCAUGGGAGUGGGCUGCAAAAGAAGUAGGUAGUUUAACCUUCGGGGGGACGCUUACCACUUUGUGGUUCAUGACUGGGGUGAAGUCGUAACAAGGUAGCGCUAGGGGAACCUGGCGCUGGAUCACCUCCUUA
rnacentral:rRNA from 1 species